GCCUGAAACGUCAGCUUUCCUGCUCCUCUGAUGCUGCUUGGCCUGCUGUGUUCAUCCAGCUCUACAUCUUGUUAUCUCACCUCCUCACCCGAUCACCAACUUACAUCCAGUCAUUAAGUUACUUACUGAAAGAUAGACAGCUGUAAUAAUCUGACUUGAAAACAGCAGCUGCUAUGGUGAUAGAGGGGUGUGUCUGCCUUUCCUUGAGUUUUUUGACCUCUCUCUGGACAUCUGUGCUGACUCAUUGAUGUUUCAGAAGCUCCUGCUGAAAAAAAUCACAAAAUUUCCUAUUUACAGGAAGCUGCACAGGAGGCAUUGCUGAAGACUAUGAAGAUUUAGGCCAUUGUUCAAAAUGUCAAAAUUUCAGACCGUGCCUCCAGCAGAGCAGCUCUCAAUUUUGCUCUGGCAGACUAGACUUUUCAGGAGCUUGAAAUGUGUUUGAAAACUACAGGUUUCUGAUAGAGAACACACGGACUACAGCAAUUCAAGAAGGCAGCUCACCACCACCUUCUUAAGGGCAACAAGAGACAGAAAAUAAAUGCUGACCACCAGCGAUGACCCCAUUCCAUGAAUUUACAGCAUCUGCAGUUUUUUUUUCAAAAAUACUUCACUGGCUGUAAAAGAGACAACCGAUGGAAGGCGUUAUAUUCACAGGUACAGCACCUCAUAUUUCGCUUGAGAACCCUGCAGCCCAAUGGUCUCAAUGUGGACUUCACAAGCUUCAAGAUCUCCCCACCCCUUACCGCAUCCCAAAACCAGCCCACCUUGUCCCCGCCUCCUUGACCUGUCCAUCUUUUCUCCCAACUAUCCACUCCUCCCACCUCACUGACCAACCCCCACCCCCACCUCCUACCUACCAGCCUCAUCCCCGCCUCCUUGGCCUGUCCGUCUUUUCUCCCACCUAUCUGCUCCUCCCACCUCACUGACCAACCCCCAUCUCCUCCUCCUACCUACCAGCCUCAUCCCCGCUUCCUUGACCUGUCCGUCUUCCCUCGACUGACCAACCCCCACCAUAACUCCCUGCCUACACUCACCUUUACUGGCUCCAUCCCCGCCUCCUUGACCUGUCCAUCUCCUCUCCACCUAUCUGCUCUUUUAUCCACCUUCCAUCUGCCUCUCCCUCUCUCUCUAUUUAUUUCAGAAUCCCCUUCCCCUCCCCCAUUUCUGAAGAAGGGUCCAGACCUGAAACGUCAGCUUUCCUGCUCCUCUGAUGCUGUUUGGCCUGUUGUGUUCAUCCAGCUCUACACCUUGUUAUCUCAGAUUCUCCAGCAUCUGCAGUUCCUGCUAUCUCUCUCCAUCUCAUAUUCACGCAUGUUUCUUUUCAUUGUGCAGUUUCUACAUCUUCUUUCCAUUUUAGAGGCACUGAAAGUAUUUCUUGGACAGCAGGUUAAAGAUCACUGGCAUGCAGAACUAUGAUUAAAUUACCUAAAAUCUUUAUAAUCCCAAAAAUCUCACAAAUGAUAUCCUAAACCAUUAAUAAUAUGGUAGUUUUUGUGGUCCAGGAUGCCUAAUAAUCCUGGUAGAGCCUUCUUCCUCAAUGAACAGCUUCACACUCUUCUAAACUAUUAUUUUCGGUCAUUUCAACUUCCUUAAAGCAUUAAAUUUGAAUAAUAUUCAGAUUGUUUUACCAAUUUUAUGAGCUCGACAUGUUGAAUCACAGGUACCUCAAGUCAUUCAUUAUACUUUAAAAUAAAAACAUCCAAUUAGUAGUGGACGGUAAACUCGGA